GUCAAGCUAACAUAAAAUCCCAGCCCCACCGGCUGUAAUGCGUACCCUGCCCACCAGGCAGUCAAGCUAACAUAAAAUCCCAGCCCCACCGGAUGUAAUGCGUACCCUGCCCACCAGGCAGUCAAGCUAACAUAAAAUCCCAGCCCCACCGGCUGUAAUGCGUACCCUGCCCGCUAGGCAGUCAAGCUAUUGUCUUUUAAAAAGGGGGAAAACACACACUCCGGCCGUCACACACAUUCAAACAAAUACAGGAGGCAGAUAGACAAUCGACAGGUUCACUUUAAAAAGGUACCCCGCAUGAGCUAAAUACCUGUCUCUAGUAGCCUUCUGGAAGCCGGAAGUGGACUCGGAGACAGACCGACACAAAACAGGAGAAUAACACAGGCAACGUCUGUAUUAUGGAGGUGAUCAGGCUCCGCUUGUCCCAAUUUCUGGGGGUCCGCUCUGGUCCUUGGUAUCCGGCCCUCCGAACCGGCAAAUCCGGGGCCCCACGUUAUGGGCGCCAAUUGAAAUGGAAAAAUCAAAGUAUUGAUUAUUUCUUUG